rnacentral:rRNA from 1 species
AGCGAACGCUGGCGGCAGGCCUAACACAUGCAAGUCGAACGAACCCUUCGGGGUUAGUGGCGGACGGGUGAGUAACACGUGGGAACGUGCCUUUAGGUUCGGAAUAACUCAGGGAAACUUGUGCUAAUACCGAAUGUGCCCUUCGGGGGAAAGAUUUAUCGCCUUUAGAGCGGCCCGCGUCUGAUUAGCUAGUUGGUGAGGUAAUGGCUCACCAAGGCUACGAUCAGUAGCUGGUCUGAGAGGAUGACCAGCCACAUUGGGACUGAGACACGGCCCAAGCUCCUACGGGAGGCAGCAGUGGGGAAUUUUGCGCAAUGGGCGAAAGCCUGACGCAGCCAUGCCGCGUGGAUGAUGAAGGUCUUAGGAUUGUAAGAUCCUUUCACCGGUGAAGAUAAUGACUGUAGCCGGAGAAGAAGCCCCGGCUAACUUCGUGCCAGCCGCCGCAGUAAUA